CUUUGAUGACCAUUGCAGAAGGAAGAUUGCAAUAUUCCACCUGUUAAAUCAAGCAAUUGUGGAUUUUGAUUCUUCCACUGAACGGCAGUGAUAUCUCUCUGCAGUAAUCGUGUGAGCCAGAGCCAAGCCAGCGGGCAGCAGGCAGGCAUAGAUGAAAAAUGCAGAAGCUAAAAUGAGAAGGACUGACAUUUUGACCCCUUAUCCAUCCAUCGAGCCAGUCUGCAGAGGCCAAAAUAUAACCAAAGUUUCCUGAAUCCCAGACCAGCACUCUAACUGUGAGGUGCUUUGAGCUCUUUUUCCUGAGACUGUUUUGCAGUGAUACUUACUUUCUCCUCUACCUUCAUUGGGAUGCGCUGGAAUUUCCUGGGGAAUACAAAUUGCUUGGCCAUAGCUGUUCACCAGUAACGCAACGGCUGGGUGUGGAAGAGGAGAGCCUGCGUCAGGACCGGUGAG
rnacentral:lncRNA from 1 species